GGGCGAUUAGCUCAGUUGGCCAGAGCGCCUGCUUCACACGUAGGAGGUCGGCAGUUCGAGUCUGCCAUCGCCCACCA
rnacentral:tRNA from 1 species